GCUAGUGAAGUGGCGCGGCUUCGGCACGUGUGUCGCUCCCCGGGAUUCCUGGAUUACCCCUGUGCCUGGUGAAUUUCUCAGGCCGGGUCUCUCUUCAGGCGUCAGGAUGAAGGCAAGAAGAAAUAAAAAACAGCUCCCAAGCUUUCGAAAGUUGCUAAAAACUAGUAAAGUCAAACUUGAAAACAAGCUAAAAAAUAAGCAAUUUAAACAACAAAGCACUCUCAAGAAGUACCGAAAAGAACAAAGGAAACUAAGGCAAGCUGUAAAAGAUGCUGUGUCUAAGAAACCAAUUCCAUUGGAGGACCCAAAGGAUAAACGACGAGGUAAAAGGAUUGAGAGGAAAGAGGAAGAAGAAGAGGAAGCCCUUCCAUUAGAUAUGAUGGAUGAAGAUGACUUACAGUUAAUGAAGGAUUUAGGACAGAGAGCAUCUUUUCUAACAAGAGAUCUUUCUUCUAGUGAACCUGUUCAUACCAAGAAACGAAAGCAUGAGCGCAUUAUAGAUAAAUAUGAAAAAAUACCAAGAACUCUACAGACCUCCCCAGAGAAGGAACUGAUUCAUUUGCUUCCUAUCAAAGAUAAAAGUGGUAUAAUCCCACAGACCAGGGAGAAGCCAGUUAUUGACAGUAACAAAGAUGAAGAGGAUCAAGAAGAAGAGAUGGAACUUGAGGAAGAGAUCAUUGAAGAUCCUGUUCGAGAGCUGACCAUAGAAGAACAUUUGAUUGAGAGGAGGAAGAAACUACAGGAGAAGAAACUGCAUAUUGCAGCCUUGGCAUCUGCUAUAUUAUCAGAUCCAGAAAGUAAUAUUAAAAAAUUGAAAGAAUUACGUUCCAUGCUGAUGGAACAGGAUCCUGAUGUGGCUGUUACUGUUCGAAAGCUGGUGAUAGUUUCUCUGAUGGAAUUAUUUAAAGACAUUACUCCUUCGUAUAAAAUCCGACCCCUUACUGAAGCAGAAAAAUCUACCAAGAUGCGCAAAGAAACUCAAAAGUUGAGAGAAUUUGAAGAAGGCCUUGUUAGCCAAUACAAAUUUUAUUUGGAAAAUCUGGAGCAAAUGGUUAAAGACUGGAAACAAAGGAAGCUGAAGAAAAGUAAUGUAGUUUCCUUGAAGGCAUACAAAGGACUGGCAGAAGUGGCUGUGAAGAGCCUGUGUGAGCUAUUGGUGGCACUACCUCAUUUUAACUUUCACAACAACAUCAUUGUAUUGAUUGUCCCCCUCAUGAAUGACAUGUCGAAAUCGAUAUCUGACAUAUGUUGUGAGGCAGUAAAGAAACUCUUUAAACAAGAUAAAUUAGGCCAAGCUUCUCUUGGUGUAAUUAAAGUGAUUUCUGGUUUUGUGAAGGGCAGAAAUUAUGAAGUUAGGCCAGAGAUGUUAAAAACAUUUUUGUGCCUAAGAAUCAAGGAAUUAGAAGUGAAAAAAGACACAGAGGACAUUAAUAAGCCAAAAAAGUUCAUGACUUUCAAGGAAAAGAGAAAAACUCUAUCAAGAAUGCAGAGAAAGUGGAAGAAAGCAGAAGAGAAACUAGAACGAGAGCUUCGGGAGGCAGAAGCUUCAGAGAGUACUGAGAAAAAACUUAAACUUCACACAGAGACUCUGAAUAUUGUGUUUGUAACCUACUUCAGAAUAUUGAAGAAAGCCCAGAGGUCACCUCUCCUGCCAGCAGUUCUAGAAGGUCUUGCCAAGUUUGCUCACCUUAUAAAUGUGGAGUUCUUUGAUGAUUUAUUGGUAGUUCUUCAUACUCUCAUUGAGUCUGGAGACCUAAGCUAUCAAGAAAGUCUUCACUGUGUCCAGACUGCUUUUCAUAUACUUUCUGGACAAGGUGAUGUUCUGAAUAUUGAUCCAAUGAAAUUCUAUACACAUCUCUACAAAACACUGUUCAAGUUACAUGCAGGUGCUACCAAUGAAGGUGUUGAGACUGUACUCCAGUGCCUUGAUGUUAUGCUGACUAAGCGCCGAAAGCAAGUUUCUCAGCAGCGAGCCCUCGCCUUCAUCAAGCGCCUUUGUACCCUUGCUCUUCAUGUUCUUCCAAAUUCAAGUAUUGGCAUUUUGGCAACUACCAGAAUAUUAAUGCAUACUUUCCCAAAAACAGAUUUGUUACUUGACAAUGAAUCUCAGGGAAGUGGGGUUUUCCUCCCUGAGCUGGAUGAGCCCGAGUACUGUAAUGCUCAGAACACGGCGCUGUGGGAAUUGCAUGCCCUGCGGAGACAUUAUCAUCCCGUAGUGCAGAGAUUUGCAUCUCACCUGAUCGCCGGAGCACCUUCUGAAGGCUCCGAAGCACUCAAACCGGAGUUGAGCCGAAGAUCUGCUGCUGAACUUUUUGAGGCCUAUAGCAUGGCAGCAAUGACAUUCAAUCCUCCUGUUGAAUCUUCAAACUCCAAAGUGAAGAGUAAAGUGUUACAAGGAGAUUCAUUUUUGAAUGAAGAUUUAAAUCAGCUAAUCAACAGACAUUGCAAUGAGGUUGUUACUCAGUCGCCCCUGGAUUUUACCAAAUAUUUGGAAACAUCACUACAGUAGAAGAAUGAAGAGUCAGUGGAAUUUCUUAUAUAUGUGUGUGUGUGCAGAUUCACAUAAAGAUGAGUUGUUACCUCAGGACCUUUUCUUUUUAUACAAGGAGAACUUCUUAAGAAUGAUGAGGAAGGGAAGGAAGAAUUACCCUUUUUUGUACGGCACAGGGUUCUGCCCCAGAUCUGAAAAUGUCAUUUUGUUAAGGAGAUUGAAAGCCAUUUCCCCCCCAGUAUUUGGAAAUUUCUUUCAUUAAGAUGCUGACUUUUUAAAACUUCAUGUACAUAUUAAAUUAUAGUUUGAAAACCAAAAUCUUACUGAAAUGGACUGGAUCUUACUGAAAUGCAGUUGCUAUAUUAAAAUUAGGGCAUAGAGCACAGAAAAAUCAAGACCGUGAGAAUACUUUUUGCCAUUUACCUACUGUUUAUAACUAAAUACUCUUUAAAAUUAAAUAGAUAUUAUUUUUAUUCCAACACUACAGAUGGAAAUAAGAAACAUUUUAAAUUUGAGUGAAUAUAUUUUUAUGAAGAUUUUUGAGGAAAAAUUGGACUCAGGUUUAUUGGCUUUUGCUGAUACACCUCAAGAAGUAAGCUAAUUAGGCCUUUUUAAAAAGGAAUGAGUAUUUAUUAUGGCUACUUUCAAAGAAAGUUUGAAAGUGAUUGAGUCUAUUUGAAGUUCUUUGCAUUUUCUCACAUGCCCUGAAGGGUGAUGGGGGAAGAGUUGCUCCAAGGCAGAAGAACCAAGUCCAAGACUUUACCAUUCUGUUCCAGGGACAAAGGAUGGGUACCCAGUGAGGGGCUCCCCUCUGCCCUCAACAGGUCCCCAUGGUUCUAGAACUUCAUUCAUAAGAUGAACUGUCAGUGCACAGACAUCUGAUUUAUCCCAAUAACUUAUACUGAGGAAAGGGAGAGGCUUUUACCUGCUGAAUGACAUCCUGUGCGGUGCUGACUCGGGGCGCUUUGAUGACUGUUCGAGGUUGCUCUGGAGAAACAUCAUGCACUUGGACGAAGAAACUCUCCUCCUCUGUGCUCAAGAUCACCUCUUUGUCAUCUUGGACAAUGCUUUUCUCUUCCAGAUUCUAUGUAAAAAAGAAAAAAAGUUGUGAGUAAAAGCAAGCAGGGACCACUGAUGGACAUUUUACCAGUCAAGCUCUAGUACGUGCCCCAAAGGAGCGGAUCACAUUGCCCAGAACAGAGCCUGGCACAUACUAGGUGCUCAAUUACCACAGAAGACUGAACUCGAAGGGAGUUCACGAUGAAGACACUCCCUUUGCUGCCUUCCUAGGAGAAGUAGCUUGCUGAUGACAGAAAGCUGCCACCAUCUGGACUAGAUUAAGCAAACACCCUUCUACUCAGGCCCUUGCCAAUGAGGCAAAGACCAGAGCUAACACGUCUCGCUGGGAGGAAAAGCAGAGUGUAAUCUGUGGGGGUGGUGGGGGCAGAAGAUUCUCAGGAAGACUCUGGUCCCUCCAGCCCAGCCCUUGGUCUGUAACCAACUGUGCUAUUGACUCUAUGGGGCCAAAGCAAACAGACUGAUUUAAGCAAGUAACCACUACCACAGGGAUACUCCUGGAGGUCAGCUGGCACUGUCACCUCCACGACAGGGCCAGUGUCACCCCCUGCUUAGUCCUGCCUUAUAUCCAUGUGUUUAUUUGCGUGGUGACAAUAAAGCAAUGGGCUUCUUUUCAUGGGUGGCUCAUAGAAAGAUUUCCCUACUCUAAAAAACCUCAACACUGCUUUGCGAUAGUGGACAUUGACGUUCAGAAACUGACGGAUUAAAACAAAACAAAAACA